rnacentral:rRNA from 1 species
UACGGGAGGCAGCAGUGGGGAAUAUUGCACAAUGGGCGCAAGCCUGAUGCAGCCAUGCCGCGUGUAUGAAAAAGGCCUUCGGGUUGUAAAGUACUUUCAGUCGUGAGGAAGGUGUUAAGGUUAAUAACCUUAGCAAUUGACGUUAGCGACAGAAGAAGCACCGGCUAACUCCGUGCCAGCAGCCGCGGUAAUACGGAGGGUGCGAGCGUUAAUCGGAAUUACUGGGCGUAAAGGGCACGCAGGCGGUUAAUUAAGUUGGAUGUGAAAUCCCCGGGCUUAACCUGGGAAUGGCAUUCAAGACUGGUUAGCUAGAGUCUUGUAGAGGGGGUAGAAUUCCGAUGUGUAGCGGUGAAAUGCGUAGAGAUGUGGAGGAAUACCGGUGGCGAAGGCGGCCCCUGGCAAAGACUGACGCUCAUGUGCGAAAGCGUGGGGAGCAAAC